rnacentral:rRNA from 1 species
GACGAACGCUGGCGGCGUGCUUCACACAUGCAAGUCGAACGAGUGGCGGACGGGUGAGUACCACGUGGGAAUCUACCAUUAGGUGGGGACUAUCAGGCCGAAAGGACUGCUAAUGCCGCAUACCUUUUGAUGAGCCCGCGUCCGAUUAGCUAGUUGGUAGGGUAAAAGCCUACCAAGGCGCCGAUCGGUAUGUGGUCUGAGAGGAUGAGCACCCACAAUGGGACUGAGACACGGCCCAUACUCCUACGGGAGGCAGCAGUGGGGAAUUUUGCGCAAUGGGGGAAACCCUGACGUAGCGACACCGCAUGAGCGAAGAAGCCCUUUGGGGUGUAAAGCUCUGUCAACAGGAACGCGAUACCUGUGGAGGAGGCAUCGGCGAACUACGUGCCAGCCGCCGCGGUAAUAC